rnacentral:rRNA from 1 species
UUGUUAGUUGCCAUCAUUCAGUUGGGCACUCUAGCGAGACUGCCGGUAAUAAACCGGAGGAAGGCGGGGAUGACGUCAAAUCAUCAUGCCCCUUAUGACCUGGGCUACACACGUGCUACAAUGGUUGGUACAACGAGUUGCGAGUCGGUGACGGCGAGCUAAUCUCUUAAAGCCAAUCUCAGUUCGGAUUGUAGGCUGCAACUCGCCUACAUGAAGUCGGAAUCGCUAGUAAUCGCGGAUCAGCACGCCGCGGUGAAUACGUUCCCGGGCCUU